rnacentral:rRNA from 1 species
UUCCGGUUGAUCCCGCCAGAGGUCACUGCUAUCGGGGUUCGAUUAAGCCAUGCGAGUCGAGAGGGUUCGGCCCUCGGCGUACUACUCAGUAACACGUGGAUAACCUGCCCUAAGGGAGGGGAUAACCUCGGGAAACUGAGGAUAAUACCCUAUAGGUUACAGACGCUGGAAUGCCCUGUAACCGAAAGCUCCGGCGCCUUAGGAUGGAUCUGCGGCCGAUUAGGUUGUUGUUGGGGUAACGGCCCAACAAGCCGAUAAUCGGUACGGGUUGUGGGAGCAAGAGCCCGGAGUUGGAUUCUGAGACACGAAUCCAGGCCCUACGGGGCGCAGCAGGCGCGAAAACUUUACAAUGCGGGAAACCGUGAUAAGGGAACCUCGAGUGCCUGUAUAUGCAGGCUGUCCAGGUGUCUAAAAAACACCUGAAGAAAGGGCCGGGCAAGACCGGUGCCAGCCGCCGCGGUAAUACCGGCGGCUCGAGUGGUGGCCACUUUUAUUGGGCUUAAAGCGUUCGUAGCUGGGUUGUUAAGUCUCUUGGGAAAUCUGACGGCUUAACCGUCAGGCGUCUAAGGGAUACUGGCAAUCUUGGAACCGGGAGAGGUGAGGGGUACUUCGGGGGUAGGGGUGAAAUCCUAUAAUCCUCGAGGGACCACCUGUGGCGAAGGCGCCUCACCAGAACGGCUUCGACAGUGAGGGACGAAAGCUGGGGGAGCAAACCGGAUUUGAUACCCGGGUAGUCCCAGCCGUAAACGAUGCGCGUUAGGUGUAUCGGUGACCACGAGUUACCGAGGUGCCGAAGGGAAACCGUGAAACGCGCCGCCUGGGAAGUACGGUCGCAAGGCUGAACUUAAAGGAAUUGGCGGGGGAGCACCACAACGGGUGGAGCCUGCGGUUUAAUUGGAUUCAACGCCGGAA